UCUCCGUAGGUGAACCUGCGGAGGGAUCAUUACAGAGUUCAUGCCCUACCGGGUAGAUCUCCCACCCUAUGUUAUUAUUACUUUGUUGCUUUGGCGGGCCGUUAGGCUCCGGCCCGACUACCGGCCCCGGCUGGUAAGCGCCCGCCAGAGGACCCAAAACCCUGAAUAUUAGUGUCGUCUGAGAACUAUAUAAUAGUUAAAACUUUCAACAACGGAUCUCUUGGUUCUG
rnacentral:misc_RNA from 1 species